UCAAGCAUGAAAGAGCAUAUGGUGGAUGCCUUGGCACUGAGAGCCGAUGAAAGACGUGAUAAGCUGCGAUAAGCGCCGGGGAGGAGCAAAUAUCCUUUGAUCCGACGAUUUCUGAAUGGGGAAACCCAGCUGAAUGAACUUCAGUUACACAUAAGUAAAUACAUAGCUUAUGUGGGGGAACCCGGGGAACUGAAACAUCUAAGUACCCGGAGGAAAAGAAAGAAACAUCGAUUUCCUAAGUAGCGGCGAGCGAACGGGAAAGAGCCCAAACCAUUGUGCGUGCACGAUGGGGUUCGGACUGCAAUAUAUGAGCGACAGGAUAGGAGAACGGUCUGGGAAGUCCGGUCAUAGAGAGUGAAAACCUCGUAUCCGAAAUCCGAAUCGCAGUUAGCAGUAUCCAGAGUACCGCGGGACACGGGAAACCCUGCGGGAAUGAGCGGAGACCACUCCGUAAGGCUAAAUACUACUCAGUGACCGAUAGAGCAUAGUACUGUGAAGGAAAGGUGAAAAGAACCGCGGGAGCGGAGUGAAAGAGAACCUGAAACCAUAUGUUUACAAGCUGUGGAAGCACUUUAUAUGUGCGACCGCGUACUUUUUGUAGAACGGUCCGGCGAGUUACGCUGGCUGGCAAGGUUAAGCCAUCAAGUGGCGGAGCCGAAGGGAAACCAAGCCUGAAUAGGACGAGUUAGUCAGUCAGAGUACACCCGAAACCGGGUGACCUAUCCAUGUCCAGGAUGAAGUUGCCGUAAAAGGCAAUGGAGGUCCGAACACACAUCCGUUGAAAAGGGUGGUGAUGAGGUGUGGAUAGCGGAGAAAUUCCAAUCGAACCCGGAGAUAGCUGGUUCUCCUCGAAAUAGCUUUAGGGCUAGCCUCGAGACAGUCUAAUGGAGGUAGAGCACUGAAUUUCCUAGGGGGCGUCAAAGCCUACCGAAGAAUAUCAAACUCCGAAUGCCAUGUAGAUGAUUCUCGGGAGUCAGACUGCACGAGAUAAGUUGGGUGGUCAAAAGGGAAAGAGCCCAGACCUGCAGCUAAGGUCCCCAAGUUGGUGUUAAGUGGAAAAGGAUGUGGGAUUUCCAAAACAGCUAGGAUGUUGGCUUAGAAGCAGCCAUACAUUUAAAGAGUGCGUAAUAGCUCACUAGUCGAGAGGUCCUGCGCCGAAAAUGUCCGGGGCUGAAACACCACACCGAAGCUCAGGAAUCACACUUAAGUGUGAUUGGUAGAGGAGCAUUGCAUACGGAAUGAAGCAGUACCGAUAAGGAGCUGUGGACUGUAUGGAAGAGAGAAUGCCGGAAUGAGUAGCGAGAAUGAAGUGAGAAUCUUCAUGGCCGAAUAUCCAAGGUUUCCGGGGUAAAGCUGAUCUGCCCCGGGUAAGUCGGGACCUAAGGCGAGGCUUAAGUGCGUAGCCGAUGGACAACAGGUUUAGAUUCCUGUACUUCCCAUGAACAGAACUGUGGGGACACAGCAGACGGAGCGCGAGCCGGAAAAGGAAAGUCCGGCGCAAGCGGUGAGUGUGUCAGGAGGCAAACCCCCUGUAUAAACACAAGCCGUGAUGCGGAGCGAAAUACAAGUAGCGAAGAGUGCCGAGCCGCUGUCGAGAAAAGCCGCUAUUGUUUUGUGGGAACCCGUACCGUAAACCGACACAGGUGGAUGAGGAGAGAAUCCUAAGGCCGGCGGGAGAAGCAUUGUUAAGGAACUCGGCAAAAUGACCCCGUAACUUCGGGAGAAGGGGUGCUCACGCAAGUGAGCCGCAGAGAACUGGCCCAAGCAACUGUUUAGCAAAAACACAGGUCUAUGCAAAACCGAAAGGUGAGGUAUAUGGGCUGACGCCUGCCCGGUGCUGGAAGGUUAAGAGGAGAUGUUAGAGCAAUCGAAGCAUUGAAUUUAAGCCCCAGUAAACGGCGGCCGUAACUAUAACGGUCCUAAGGUAGCGAAAUUCCUUGUCGGGUAAGUUCCGACCC
rnacentral:rRNA from 1 species